rnacentral:rRNA from 1 species
AUUGAACGCUGGCGGCAGGCCUAACACAUGCAAGUCGAGCGAGCGGCGGACGGGUGAGUAAUGUCUGGGAAACUGCCUGAUGGAGGGGGAUAACUACUGGACACGGUAGCUAAUACCGCAUACCAUCAGAUGUGCCCAGAUGGGAUUAGCUUGUAGGUGGGGUAACGGCUCACCUAGGCGACGAUCCCUAGCUGGUCUGAGAGGAUGACCAGCCACACUGGAACUGAGACACGGUCCAGACGCCUACGUGAGUCAGCAGUGGGGAAUAUUGCACAAUGGGCGCAAGCCUGAUGCAGCCAUGCCGCGUGUAUGAAGAAGGCCUUCGGGUUGUAAAGUACUUUCAGCGGGGAGGCGUUACCCGCAGAAGAAGCACCGGCUAACUCCGUGCCAGCAGCCGCGGUAAUAC